GACAGAGGCCUCAAGCGUUAGGCGGAAUCACUGGGCUUAAAGCGUGUGUAGGCGGAUCGUUAAGUGUCUUGUGAAAUCCCACGGCUCACCCGUGGAACGGCUGGGCAUACUGGCGAUCUUGGGCCAACUAGGGGCAACUGGAACAAGCGGUGGAGCGGUGAAAUGCGUAGAUAUCGCUUGGAACGCCGAAGGUGAAAACAGGUUGCUGGGGGUUGUGCCGACGCUGAGACACGAAAGCCCAGGGGAGCAAACGGGG
rnacentral:rRNA from 1 species